rnacentral:rRNA from 1 species
UACGUAGGUCCCGAGCGUUGUCCGGAUUUAUUGGGCGUAAAGCGAGCGCAGGUGGUUUAUUAAGUCUGGUGUAAAAGGCAGUGGCUCAACCAUUGUAUGCAUUGGAAACUGGUAGACUUGAGUGCAGGAGAGGAGAGUGGAAUUCCAUGUGUAGCGGUGAAAUGCGUAGAUAUAUGGAGGAACACCGGUGGCGAAAGCGGCUCUCUGGCCUGUAACUGACGUUGAGGCUCGAAAGCGUGGGGAGCAAACAGG